GACGAACGCUGGCGGCGUGCUUAACACAUGCAAGUCGAACGGAAAGGCCCUGCUUUUGUGGGGUGCUCGAGUGGCGAACGGGUGAGUAACACGUGAGUAACCUGCCCUUGACUUUGGGAUAACUUCAGGAAACUGGGGCUAAUACCGGAUAGGAGCUCCUGCUGCAUGGUGGGGGUUGGAAAGUUUCGGCGGUUGGGGAUGGACUCGCGGCUUAUCAGCUUGUUGGUGGGGUAGUGGCUUACCAAGGCUUUGACGGGUAGCCGGCCUGAGAGGGUGACCGGCCACAUUGGGACUGAGAUACGGCCCAGACUCCUACGGGAGGCAGCAGUGGGGAAUAUUGCACGAUGGGCGGAAGCCUGAUGCAGCAACGCCGCGUGCGGGAUGACGACCUUCGGGUUGUAAACCGCUUUCGCCUGUGACGAAGCGUGAGUGACGGUAAUGGGUAAAGAAGCACCGGCUAACUACGUG
rnacentral:rRNA from 1 species